ACAAACUGGUUGAGGAGUGUGUUUUGCGCUAUGGCAGUAGGCUCGGAAGUGUCGGCUCACCUGCUGCCGAACGACUGCUGCUUUAUUUGCCAUGUCAUAGAGGGGAGGGUGGAUGAGGGAGUAAGGAGACCGAUGUAAAGGGCACUUUCUGCAGUGUCCAAGGGGCAGUUGCCAAUCAGCCAUUUAUGGAACACCUACUGUGUGUGUCAGACACCGAGGUUUUGGAAUGGACAUCUCUGCCUCCAUGAGAGUUUAUAGUCUAAAGAGGCAGAUUAACCAAGUGCCUUUAUUGCUUUUGGCCUCCCUUCCUCCCCUUCGCCUUAGAUGGAGAUUUCUCUCCCCGAACCCUGAGCCAUUCGGUCGUCCCCGCCUGGCUCUGGCGCGGAGACCGGGCGCCACGGCGUCGGCGCCAACCUCGUCUCCCAGGGCAGGGUAGUGACGGGCGCGGACCGGCGCCGCGGUCACGUGAGGGCGGAGCUUGGCGAGCGCGCGACUUCCCGGUAGGCCGGCUCUCCGCUUGCCCCCUCGGACCCGCGGCUUCGUCACCAGCUUUUAUUGGGCACGUGGCGGCUGAUGCGCAAUAAAUAGGAGUGACUCUGGGCAGCCACGCUGCUUAGGUGGGGACCACACUUCUCGAGAGACCGAACUGCCCGAAGCGAGGCUUAAGAGCUGUAAGUACGUGGGAACAAGUACAAAGCUCCCUCCCAGCCGGACUUGAGGGGGAGAUAGCGCCUUCUGCAAAUCAAACCAACAGGAAGCAAUGAAUCCUGGGCCCCCAGACUGAUCUGAACUAGACCUAGCAGGGAACUCUGAGUCCCUGUGGAAAGAACCUGAGAGCCACCUCUUCCUUCUAGGGCUUGGGUUUACCAACUGUGAAAUAGGGCAGCGGACUCAAAGUGCCCCUUAAGCGAGCAGGGACACAAAAUGAUUUAACUCUGCAAACAGAAACAAGCAGUCUGUAUUGGCUCCAGUAGGAGCCACUUUGAGGCCUGGGGUGGGGUCGCCCUUUCACAUCCGCUGGCUGUUCCUGAAACAAGUUUCCACAAUCACAAGGCUGGAAAAGUUACUCAGCCCAUGGGACUGAAGAGUGAGUCAGAAGAACAUGAGCUACAGGGAACUGGCCUGGCCUCCUUGGCUGGAACAAUCAGAUACCACCCUUCGCUUCCUGCCUCCCAAGAUCCAUCUCUUGGGGAGUAUGAGCCUCGUGGGUGCUAAUUCUUCAGUGGACCAACAGCUAAACCUAGGAAACGAACGCGCACCGGCUUCUCAACACCACUGCAUGUAGCGCUCCUUCAGGGGCUGGUCCUGGAGUUGGAAAGAAGCUGCAGAAAGGCCACCAUGCCCAUGAGGAAAAAAAUCCUUCAGGUAACCUGCACCAUGAAUGGUUUCUUGUCUUCAGAAAAACCUCCCUACUCACGAGGUGACUGCACCCUGCUGGUCCAAACAGGAUGACCAUCUAUCAAUACCAUGUACACCUCCAACUCAGUUCGUCUGAAAUGAAACUCAUCUCUUCCCGACAUACCUGGUGACACUGGAGCCACUGCCAGUCACUAGUCCAAGCACAAGUUUGGGGAGUCAUCAACCCUCCUCCCAUUCCUUCUGCUUCUACCUUCACCAGGCAAUUUCCAAUUUCUGUUAUUCCACCCGUUAAAUAUCUACUAACCUCAUUCUCUCAUUUGUAAAUGAUCCCCAUUGGGACUCAAUUCUGCAUUCUUACACCUGGUUCUCCCCAUUACUGUCAGAGGGUACGGGCACUGAUAGCUUUCUGAAAUGCAAAUCUGAUCAAGUCCCUCCUCUACUUAAAAUCUUUUGACAACAAAAGAUCUUAUGCAGAAUAAAGUCCAAAGCAGCAAUGCCCUUCACAAUGAGGCUUCUCUGUACCUCUUCAACUUUAUCUGAUAUUCCUUUGACCUGAACCAUAGUAUUAGAUUUCCUAAAUGCACUGUUCUCUCCACACCUUACAUGCUAUUCCUGAUAACAGAAAUGCCUUCCCUGUCCUCAUUUGCCCAGGAAACUCCCAUAUCUUUAAAUCCAGCUCAAACACCUCCUCCAAGAAGCCUCCGCUGGUCUCUACUGGCUUGGAUUUGGGCGUGCCUCACCUUUGAUCCCACAGCCCACUCAUAUCCUUUCUAUGAGAUAUUUAACACAGGCUGCUGACUCAAGUGUUAACUGUUGGUUCACUUGGCUCCCCAACAAACUGAGUUGCCUAAAAGCAGAUAGAUGUACCAUUCCUCUCUAAAUCUCCAGUGCCUAAUAAAGGGUUUCACACAAAGUAGGUGCUUAGUACAUGUCCGUUGCAUUUUAGACAAGAAUGGCAUGAAGGACCUGUUAAGGAACUGGGCUUCCUGGUCAGCCUCAGAGUCCAAGUGAUGCACAGCAGGGGUGCAUGGGCUAAGCCUGGAAAAGAGUGUGUUGGCUCUUUGAAGGCCCUGGGCAUAAAAAGCCAAGAAGUUUGGGCUUUAUACAGUGGGCAGUCCUUGAGGUGUUAAGAUGACCAGAGCUGUGCCAAGGAUGGGAGGGCGGACUGGAGGACAGGAGGCUGGGGUGAGGGAACAGGCAGCUCUAAUCGCUCCAUCACAGUUGAUGAAACAGUGACUCAGCAAGAUUGUGGCUCUGCAACUCCAAUUCCACGGCCACACAACUGGUGUGGCAGAACUAGGAGUUGAACCAGUUCUGGACUGUGCCAAGUGCAGAGCUCUUUGUAUCUCACCACAAGGAGUAUGCAGUAAAUGGGGCUUCAGGGUUGUCCAAGUGUGAAUGGAUACUCCUUCGGUCAGGAUAGGAUAGGUUAGAUUGCAGACACAAUACUGAAAUCUGUGUGGCUUAACACAUUUAUUUUCUGUUCACACAAAGUCCACUGUGGUGCUGGACACCACCUUAAGGCAGCUGAGCAAUCCAGGCUGCUCUGAUGUACUUCCACAGUUCCUACAGUAGGGGAAGAGCACUUGGAAAUCAUGUCCCAGCUUGAUAUCCGAAGUCACACACAUUACUUGCCAUUACAGUCUCGGCCAGAACAAGUCCAGUAACCUUGGUUGACUAGAGUGACUGGAAAACAGUCUUCUGUGUGUCCAGGAAGGGGAAGAGAACGAGAUAUUUGUGGACAGUAGUACUGCCUGAACUCAGGACAUCAGGGGGCGGUGCCUACAGAGAAGGAGGGGCAGGCCAAACAGUCUGAGGAACUGAUAGGAGAGGUACAAAGAGAGAGGCUUUGCUUAGGAUUUGCGUGUUAGGUCAGGGCUGUUCUGGUCACCUCAUGGGCAUAGGUGAGCAGAACGUACGUCACAUCAGUGGGUUCUCAACUGUAGCAAUGUGUCAGGAAGCUCAGAGACUCCUAAGGACAGAAGAGAGGAGGACCUCAUUCAACAGGCUGAUGGGAGGCCUCAGUUGUCCCAGGCCUCUCCACAGAGCUGCUUCAGUGUCUUGGCAAGGCAUCUGCUUCCCCCAGGGCAAAUGAUGAGAGAGGUGGAAGCCAGGACUUCACCUCAGAAGUCGAAUACCAUCACUUUUGCCCUAUUUUAUUGGUCAUAUGUACCAAACAUGACUCACCGUGACAGAGGCUUGCAUAAGGGCAUGAGGACCAGAUUGGGUAACUGGAGACCAGCUGAGAAGCUGCUGCCCAGGCACCAGCAGGGGAGCCUCAUCUGGAGGUUAGUGUCUUCUUAAACCCUUGCUGCCAAGCUCAUCUUUAAUCUGUGAGGUGAAGUCUGCAAUGAGCCUAGGAAGGAGGCAGGACUGGUCCUGAUCACAUUUUACAGAUGAGGAACCCAAGACAUGAAGACAUUCUAUGGCGCCUGACUCCCAAGCGCCCUUGCUGCAGCCUGCAUGUGCCGGGACCACAGCAUUCGCCAUGCAGCGAAGGCCUCUGUGGCACAUGCAUGUGAGCCUGCUUCACUCCAUCUUUGCCUCCACAGCACCCGGCAUGGGCUGGAGACAGGAGUGGCUGAAACCCUGUUAGUGGGCCUGAGGAGAUUGGCCGUGGAAGUUUCCCGCAGCAGAAGGCCCUGUACCACGCUGCUCCCACCACCACACACCAUCCUAUUCCUGACUUGGCAGGUAUGUUUUUCUUAUGUCCUAGGAUCCCUCCUAUGGCUUCUAGCCCGAUAGCCCUCCCUGAUCCUGGGGCUGCCCCUGCUUCCGAUUGUGCACCUGGAGGAAAUUUUCACCUGGUAACUCCAC